UACGUAGGGUGCAAGCGUUAUCCGGAAUUAUUGGGCGUAAAGAGCUCGUAGGCGGUUUGUCACGUCUGCUGUGAAAACUGGAGGCUCAACCUCCAGCCUGCAGUGGGUACGGGCAGACUAGAGUGCGGUAGGGGAGAUUGGAAUUCCUGGUGUAACGGUGGAAUGCGCAGAUAUCAGGAGGAACACCGAUGGCGAAGGCAGAUCUCUGGGCCGUAACUGACGCUGAGGAGCGAAAGCAUGGGGAGCGAACAGG
rnacentral:rRNA from 1 species